rnacentral:rRNA from 1 species
AACGAACGCUGGCGGCAUGCCUAACACAUGCAAGUCGAACGAGACCUUCGGGUCUAGUGGCGCACGGGUGCGUAACGCGUGGGAACCUGCCCUUAGGUUCGGAAUAACUCCCCGAAAGGGGUGCUAAUACCGGAUAAUGUCUUCGGACCAAAGAUUUAUCGCCUUUGGAUGGGCCCGCGUUGGAUUAGCUAGUUGGUAGGAUAAAAGCCUACCAAGGCGACGAUCCAUAGCUGGUCUGAGAGGAUGAUCAGCCACACUGGGACUGAGACACGGCCCAGAAUCCUACGGGAGGCAGCAGUGGGGAAUAUUGGACAAUGGGCGAAAGCCUGAUCCAGCAAUGCCGCGUGAGUGAUGAAGGCCUUAAGGUUGUAAAGCUCUUUUACCCGGGAUGAUAAUGACAGUACCGGGAGAAUAAGCUCCGGCUAACUCCGUG